CAAAGACAGAGUCUGCCACUUCCGAUUUUUUUUUCUUUUAAAAAUGUCAGCGUGCUGCUGACACAGGAACAUCGCUGAGACAAACAGCAGCUCUGACUCACAGAGAGCACAUCAAAGAAAUGGCCCUGAUAAGCGGCCGGCGGGAAUGAGAGAAAAAGGCCAGAGAACAGAAGCCAAACUCUUGGAGAAGAGAUGACUGUUGUCAGCUGUCACGGAAGGACACUGGAGAUAGAGGCCUGGGUCUGUCCUGCCGUGGCCUGGGUCAGCGUUUUGCGGUGGCUCACUUUCUCGGACCAGGCAGCUGUGGGCGGGCCCCAGCCCAAGGCUGACUCCCGGCCCCUCAGGGAAGGCGUCAGAUGCUUCCGGGCUGAGGCAGGAAUGACGUCAGCGAUGGGUCCGUCCUGGGGUGGGUGCUCAGUGCUGUUGCCAUGACGGCUGGCUUGGUGCUCGGUGACCACCAGCACCAGGCAGCCCCUAUUCCUCACCUAACCUAUUCUUUCUUGACUCCUGGACCUGGCCUCGACGGUUCCCUCUCCAGCUUGUCUCCGUCCUGAUGCUUGGGACUGAGGACCCACAGGCUUAAGUACUCCAGCCUCAAAGGGACAGAGGUGGCUCCCGUCCCCUACCUCUCGGCCUCCCCCCUCCCUGGUGAAAUGAACUCACAGCUGACUGGGGCAGCUGCUUUCGAUCCAUCUGGAAUUCCUGCCGCAGGCAGCCCCAACAGGACCACUUUGAACUCCUGUGAGCUGCUUCUAAACACCAUGAACAAGGACACGGGUGAGCGCUGGAGCCAGCCCGACUGGGCUCAAGACCCUGAAAGCACCACUCUCCAGCGACGUGACCUCAGAUCAGUUACAUAACCUCUGUGCAUCUCAUUUUCCCCACGCAUAAACAUUGGACCUCACGGAAUCUUUAUGUGAAUUAAAUGAGAUAAUGUGGUUCUUGGCGCAUAGUAAGUGCUCAAUAAAUAUUCAUCCUUCUGUUUGCCCCA
rnacentral:lncRNA from 1 species